ensembl:lncRNA
GUGGUGCACAGGCUCAGCAGUUGUGGUACAUGGGCUAAAUUGCUCUGUGUCUUACAGGAUCUUAGUUCCCCAACCAGGGAUCAAACCCCUGCGUUGCAAGGUGGAUUCUUAACCACUGGAGCACCGGGGAAGUCCCAAGGCCUGUUCUUUUUAUUUUAAUUAUUUACUUUUUAAUUUUAUUUGGCCUGUUCUUUUUAGAUGGGUUUUAUUUUUGCCAAGGUGUGUUGCAUUCGUUUGUGAUCCCAGUCUUCCUGCUGCUGCUGCUAAGUCACUGCAGUCGUGUCCGACUCUGUGCGACCCCAUAGACAGCAGCCCACUAGGCUCCUCUGUCCCUGGGAUUCUCCAGGCAAGAACACUGGAGUGGGUUGCCAUUUCCUUCUCCAAUGCAUGAAAGGGAAAAGUGAAAGUUAAGUCACUCAGCCAUGCCAGACUCUUAGCGACCCCAUGGACUGGAGCCUAUCAGGCUCCUCCGUCCAUGGGAUUUUCCAGGCAAAAGUACUGGAGUGGGGUGCCAUCGUCUUCUCCCCCAGUCUUCCUACCCACCUUGAAUUCUCCACUCCUCUGCAUGUUAUUCUGUCAAAAUUCUCAACUGUAUAAGGAGUCAGUGUAUGUCUAUUUUUGGUUGCCUUGGUUUUUCCUUUUAGCAGGGCACCAAAUUAGGAGUCUUAGUUUAAGAACCUCAUCUCGUAGCACUCAUCUGGAAAUGUGGGAGUGAGUUCUUAGUGGGGAUCUCUGGCCAGUAGCUCCUGCAUCCUGGCAGUAACAUCAGUGAUGGCUUUGUUUUGUGUAUAAAGUUUGCAAGAUUCUCAGUUGGAGCUGUCACGCACACAUGACAAAAGUGGGUUUUGUUUUAUAUAGUCACAUCCUAAGUCCCCUCCAAAGGGAAAAAGAGGUGUUCAUAUCAUUAUAAACACGAUUCUCUCUCACUCAAGUUCCUCCAAAUCAAUACGAAGUGGGGAGACGUCAGGCUCCCGCGGCCGGAGCGGCGGCCCCGGCUCGGCGCGGCGCAGCGCAGUCUGGUUGAGCGCUCACCGCAGCGAGAAGUUUUCCUCUGCCGUCGCGCCUUCCGCCGCCGCCGCUGGGUGGUCACACAUGUCAGAUCAGUUGUCGUCUUGAUCUUGGGCUUUCCCAGCCUUCAUAUCUGUG